GAUGAACGCUGGCGGCGUGCCUAAUACAUGCAAGUCGAGCGAACAGAUGAGGAGCUUGCUCCUCUGACGUUAGCGGCGGACGGGUGAGUAACACGUGGAUAACCUACCUAUAAGACUGGGAUAACUUCGGGAAACCGGAGCUAAUACCGGAUAAUAUAUUGAACCGCAUGGUUCAAUAGUGAAAGACGGUUUUGCUGUCACUUAUAGAUGGAUCCGCGCCGCAUUAGCUAGUUGGUAAGGUAACGGCUUACCAAGGCGACGAUGCGUAGCCGACCUGAGAGGGUGAUCGGCCACACUGGAACUGAGACACGGUCCAGACUCCUACGGGAGGUAGCAGUAGGGAAUCUUCCGCAAUGGGCGAAAGCCUGACGGAGCAACGCCGCGUGAGUGAUGAAGGUCUUCGGAUCGUAAAACUCUGUUAUUAGGGAAGAACAAAUGUGUAAGUAACUAUGCACGUCUUGACGGUACCUAAUCAGAAAGCCACGGCUAACUACGUG
rnacentral:rRNA from 1 species